rnacentral:lncRNA from 1 species
AAGUCUGGGUAGCAGGCAGACACCUGCGGUCCUGAGCCACUGGGGUCAGCCUUGGGACAAUUAAAGUGACAAGGAGGUCUGCUGUGCAAGGGGAUUCCUUCUCUCCAUCAUUCAUUAUUCAGUGUGCCUUAUAUGAAAGCUACUGCGGGAGGAUGAGCAUGAGAAACAUGGGAUGCCCCCUCCUAGCACUUGCAACCCAGUUAAAAAGACAGACUUCAAAUGAAUACAUUAACUGAAAGUCUCAGUACCCAUCAGCUCUUUACCAUCAGCUGUAAAAGCCUCCUGGGAAAGCUCUGCCAGAAUUGAAACCUGAAAGACUCAUGUCUCCAGUCCCAUUGUCUGCCACUCACUGUCUUUGCAUCAGUUUCUCUCCCUACAACCUGGUAGGUACUAUCUCCUUCGAGGGUGGAAGGGAUCUGGCAUAUAUAUUGUGCUAAAGGAGCUGAUUUCUGUCAGGGCGCGCGGUGUAAGACAUCAGCACGACAUGAUUUGCGGAGGGAUAGAGAGGGCGGCUCGCCGCACAAUGGUGGGAAAUAGCACGGUGUAUUUUGACAUGAAAGAGUCUCAAAAGCAAAGGAAUUGUUCCUUGUUUGCUUGCUGCUAUUAGACGUCAUUUCAUGUCUUUCCAAGUAUUGGAAUCUGAUAGAGAAUUUUCCCUUCAAAGACCGCAGCAGUCUUUGACGGGGAAAAUUUCCCAGCGGUCUCAAGUGCCCUUCCGCGCGUACUGGGCUAAGUUCUCCUGCAGGAACCAGAGAGAACAGCACACACAGCUGUGUAAAGAUCACAAGCCGAGGAGGGGGAAUUUGCAUAUUACAAAGGAGGUCCAACAGUGA